rnacentral:lncRNA from 1 species
UUGAGUGAUAGUAUCAAUUAUGACCAUGUCUUUUCCUAUUAUAUUUUUAUGUUUAACUUUGUAAUCUGAGUGAUGAUGGGAGCAUGACAGGCAGAGACACACGUACAUUCACUUUCUAGCUUCUUUCCCACAUCCCAUUUUCCUUUUCCCCCUUCAAAGCCUACCUAAUCUUCACUCUCACUAAUUUGUUAGACAUGUACAGUCUUCCUU